GUCACUGGAUCCAUUCAUGUUCAAUGAUAUAUCGUAUGAGUGUUCAUGGGUAGUUUGAUACAUCUUCUAAUAUGUAUAAGAUCCAGCAAUCUUAUAUGUGAACUUCACUUCCGUCUUCAACCUUGUCUGGAGGUGAACCCUCACCCGGAGUUACAGCUGCUUCCCAAAGACGACUCCUCCAUUUGGAGAGCCCUGCUGUUUGCAUCCAUCUGACCUCUGGGUGGGCUUGAGCAUUGAAGCUGGAAUGCUGCCUGACUGCUCUGCGCAGCUGAGUUAAAACUUGAAGUGACACCAAGAGUUCCUGCCCCAGUUAAAGAAAAAUCCACUUCAUAGUUAAGAGGAUAAUCGACAAUUUGUCCUUUUGCAAAGAAAGGGGCCUGUGGUUUUCCAGGAAGCUCCCACAG